rnacentral:piRNA from 1 species
AGUGCUCAGGGUCAGGAACGAGCUGG